AUGGAGUUAUGGAGGAGGCUACUUGAAAAGUCCAAGAUCGAGGUCCAUUACACAAAAGUAUUCCGUGACAAAGGGCUAUCAAUGGCUAAGUUGUUUGGUGAUUGGGAUGAUUCUUUUGACAAGCUUUAUGCUUGGAAAGUUGAGGUUGAUAAGAGGUUUCCUGGAAGCAUAGUUACGAUUGACCACAUGGAGUAUGAUCAGAAGAAAAAAAAUCAUACGGAUGUUUGUUGGGCUGAAACCUUUGUGCGAUGGAUUCUUGGAUGGCUGCAGACCUUACUUGGCGAUAGAUAA
rnacentral:rRNA from 1 species